CCAUUAUAUACUUUCAUAUAAUACACCCGUAUACGCAUGUAAAUACGAAUGUCAAGGAGAAAAUAGCGGGUUUCAACACAAACGUGCAUAUUGAAAAUAGCUAAAGAGCAAAAAACUAGCCGGGGAAAUUAUAGUUAGGAAACCUAACUACCAAGAUAAUGGAAGGGCAAGCUUCUAGCUAUCCACCGGUACAAGAAAAUGAGAUACCUGGUAUCAAUAAUGAGGCUAAUAUCAAAAAUGAUCCUAGUCAACCGCUAACAACAAUUGUAGAGAUGCAAUGAGUCUUUAAGGAGAUGAGAGAAACGAUAAGGAUGGAUGUGAAGUAAAUUCUUGAUGAUCGUCUGGAGGAAAGUACUCAACCACCAAUCAGUAAUCCAUUAAGAAGUUGAUCCACUGGUAGCAAUGCUUGUACCCAAACUUCAUAAAAAAUGAAGUUAGUGAAUCUAAAAGUGAAGAGAAGAAAGGAUGUUCAUGUAAGUCCUUCAUGGCCUAUUGUAACGCCUGCAGAUUCGGGCUAGUCAAUUUCGAGACAAUAAGCAUAAAAAAAGAGCUUUUGAUGGAAGAUUAUUUAGAAAGAGUAACAUUAACCAAGUUAUAGUAUGUGUUACAAGGGUUCUGUACAUAUAUAGAAUGUUGAAAUCCGAGUUAUAACGAAGAAGUUAUGGUCUGUCGAAGUUUCGCAACAAAACCGACACGACACUGUGUGACGUAAAUAGUGAAUUUAUGAUAGAGGACUUUUUAGCCUUAGCAAUCUAAAAAAAAAAGUUUUAUUAUACGUUAAACCGAGAGCGUGCAUAAAAAGAAGGCCCAAAUCUGACUUCGUAUGAGGAAGUUAUGAUUUUUCUAAGAUUUGGCUUAGCAGUGCACGACCUGAAACUCGAAUUUUAGAUCGAGCGGUUUUUGGCCAACGCGACCUAAAUGAGAAUUGAAGAUCUUAUUAAUAGGAACUCAACGACAAAAAGACAGACGGAAACGGAUUCUAUAUGUAGAUGUUAUGAAUUUUAUGUAGACAUUUAACAGUGUAAUCUCCUCCUACUGUUAAAUGUAAUAAAAUCAGUCGAGAAUUAGCUGACAGAGUCAAAAUGAAAUUGUAGAUCAUAUUUUUACCUACGUGUGCAUAUAAAUAACGUCGAAAAUGGAGCUCGUAUGCGAAAGCUAUGAAUUUUUGAAAAUCGGUUGUUUUACCCCCUGUGUGCAAUGCCACGUGUCAGCACCAGGCUUUGCCUUGGUGCCCAAGCCAGCUCACAACGUGAGCACUACUUCCACACGACGUGAGAGGGCUCCUGGUAGCCUAUAAAUAGAAAUUCAAGCCCUCUUCAUUCCUCACACCUUACCCUUUCUUCCUUCACUCUAUACACCCUCUAAUACCCCUAAACCACCCAAAAAGCCUAGGGAACCCCCCUAACACGAGGUGGAAGCCCGAAGCUCCCGAUGGCUCCGAGAAAAAGAGCUUUUCGGCUCGGAAACGCUGCUCUAGCGAAACCCGAUUUUUAAGGAAAACCCGCUGUAAAUUUCAUACGCCUACCACACUUUAAAUAUAGCUUAUAUAUAAAUAUAAUAUCGUUAUUAUGAACCUAUAAAUAAGAUUUAUCAGUGAUUCAAAGUUGUCACACCCCCAAACCAAGGAUGGCGGAAACGUCCGGGGGUGGAGGACUUCAUGUAAAGUAUCACAACAACGAGUAUAAUAGUGCUCAAAGUAAUUACAACCAUCAUAAAUAUAACUGAAAAAGUUUCACCAAAGAAUAUGUCUACAUGAUUCAAAUCAUUUACAUUAUGAUACAAAGUGAACUGUUCGACGAUUUAUCGUCCCAUCCUCAAAACGUUGUUGGUUUCCUGUUUUCACUGAAUUCCUGAGAAUACAAGUAGUUUUGAAAAGUGUCAACACAAAGGUUGGUGAGUUCAUAAGCUUUUGACAGUAAGAGUUUGAAAAUCGAUCUUUGUAAACAGAUGUAUGAUACCAAGAAAAAUCCAAUAUUUUCCUUACAAAAGUUAUGUAGUCCUAAAUACCAGGACCGAAAAUGAACAACAAUAUGUCAUACUUAAAGACAUAAAAGUGAUUUUAAAUCGGCAUAAAACCUUUUUUUGAUAUGAAGGCGUACAAGUAUUUUUCUAUACUUAAAGUAAUUUCAGUGAGCUAAAUAGCCAUAACUCGCUAAUUUAAAGUUAGAACCCGUAAAUCUUAUGAUUGUUAAUAUCACAUGUGAGCUAUCAUAACCAUACUAUGACCUAGAUGGCAUGAAAACGACGUUCUUCAGGCGUCGUAGAACUGAAAUGACACUUGUCACCCGUAGACCUGCAGGUCCAACUGUAGCUAGCAGCAAGGUGUGGGGUGUCAAACCCAAUAUAGAUCUAUAUACAACUAUCACGCUCUCCCUCCUGGAGACUCUGGUUACAAUACAGGACUUAUAAAUUGGUUACUUUGGAAGUAACCCGAAGGGAAUGACUCACAAAUUUAUUCAUUAACAGAUUUACGUGAACUAAACGGAAAACCUUUGAUAAAUAAGUUUAAGAGGUAAUGGUACAUAAACUAUACCUAUUAUAGUUUAUCCAAAACGUUUGUAAUAUGUAAAAAUUCUUCUAUGAAUGCUUUAAUGUUAUAAAUUCAUAAACUAUGCUCAUUAUGGUUUAAUGUACUUGUUCCAAAUAAAUGAAUAAUCUUAUCAUAUAUGCCUAUACUUCAGUAUGAUGAUAUACUAACAAGGUAACACAUUCAAUAUUUAGAACUUGACAUUAUACACUUUGCUCAACAUAAUACAAAGUGUUAUAAAAAUUACAAGCUGUUAACAAAUUUUCAGCCUUUCUACACUGUUUUUGAAAAUUCAUAGAAAAAUCAUACGAAGUCGAAAACUAACUCCGUAAAUUCUAGGAGUUCCCAAAAUGUGUCUAGUUUACUCAUAAUUUUUAUCAUGAUUUUUAAUGACCUGUAACUUAGGUGAAAAAGUCCAUAAUCACAGACUGGUCCGGAUUGGUGUUUGAAAUGAUAGGCAGUUUUGUAAAAAUCACCAUAAAUUGUAGAAAAAUCAUAUGGAGAUGUGCAAGUAGUCAUUUUAAAGCUAAGAAGUGGAACUACAUGUACCUAAUACAGUUUUGAAAACUAAAAUGUUUAAGGUGUCCAAAACAGUCCGUGAAUGGAGUCUAACUUUUCUGAUGAAAGCUGUUAGAAGAAUUUAGAUAUGUUCUUGAUGUUUUGGCUUGUAUUCCCCCCCCC